ACGAACGCUGGCGGCGUGCCUAAUACAUGCAAGUCGAGCGGAAUGAUGAAGAAGCUUGCUUCUUCUGAUUUUUAGCGGCGGAUGGGUGAGUAACACGUGGGCAACCUACCUUGUAGAUUGGGAUAACUCCGGGAAACCGGGGCUAAUACCGAAUAAUCCAUUUUGCUUCAUGGCGAGAUGUUGAAAGACGGUUUCGGCUGUCACUACAAGAUGGGCCCGCGGCGCAUUAGCUAGUUGGUAGGGUAAUGGCCUACCAAGGCGACGAUGCGUAGCCGACCUGAGAGGGUGAUCGGCCACACUGGGACUGAGACACGGCCCAGACUCCUACGGGAGGCAGCAGUAGGGAAUCUUCCACAAUGGACGAAAGUCUGAUGGAGCAACGCCGCGUGAGUGAAGAAGGUUUUCGGAUCGUAAAACUCUGUUGUAAGGGAAGAACACGUACGAGAGUAACUGCUCGUACCUUGACGGUACCUUAUUAGAAAGCCACGGCUGACUACGUG
rnacentral:rRNA from 1 species